CCCUUGCCUCCUUUUCUAUCUUCUUUCAUCGUAUGUUCAUUCUUCUUUUUGUUUGUCAUGCCUUCCCAAUUCCUUGAAACCUCCUUAAAACCAGAGAUCAUAAAAACUGUCAUUUUAGAAUCAAAAUUUUAAACUUCAAAUGCAUUUUCUUUUGUAAAUUGCUUCUUAUAAAACAAUACCUGAACUCAAUGGGAAAGCAGUUUUAACUGUCGAUUUUUGCCUAACUCCAAGUUAGCAGUGUGAAAUUGAGAUGACAGCUUCUAACUAUAUGGAGUUUAGAACCAGUAUAAAUGGAAAUUUUUGUAGCCACGCAUGGCUUUUUGUAAUCUACCAAUAGUAUAUUUCCUAGCUCAUAUUCUUCACACAUACUCUCAGAUCCAAGGUAAAUAUCCAGCAGCCAACCCUAUGUAAUGCUUGCUAAAAAUGAAUCAUUGAAGAUAUUUAUGCCAGGAAAUUUAGAUUUUAAAGGAUAUCAUACAGUAAAACAGAAGUCACUUACGUACCCAUUAAAUUCUACUCAAGUGAUAAUUUUAAAAGCAGUCACUGCUACAGACACUAUUUUUUUCUUUCAAAUCAGUUCACCCCAAAAUGGGAAGGUGUUUGGGAAUUUAGAAGCUUGAACUCUUUAGUGUAUGGGUGAACCAAGGUAAGUCAUGUGCUGUGUGAAAUGGUGUCAUUUAGUGUUGGAAAGACUGAAAUUGCCUAUGAGACUUCCAGAGUAUCAACUCUAAUUAGCUUUAGUAAAUAAAUUAACCAUAUCGCCAUUCGGAGUGUCUCUGUCUUUAAAAAUGAGCUGGGAGAGUGUGAGGAACAGAGAAGCAGCCAUGUGACCACCAUGUGGGAAAGAAGGGGAAAGAGGAGCACAAGGUGAGCCGAGACCCCAUCCCACCCCUGGAGCCCCUACCCCGUCUAGUGGACUCUUCUUUAAAUCUUUCUGAACCACCACUCCCCCAGCCCUUCUAGAUUGCUCCUGAGCUCAAGACAACCCAGCCUCUACUCCAUGUCCUCUCCCCAACGACUCCCAGAAAUACCCUUCCUGUUUUCUGCUGCAUUUUACAUCAAUAUGUUACUGACAUCCCAGAGGCUGUGGGCUGGGGAGAAAGAGAAUGAACAGUGAGCCUGACGUUCCUCAUCUGAAAAAUGGAGGGGGUUAGAAAUAAUAUGUGUAAAUACAGGGCCAGGCACACGGUCAGCUCAGACUCCACCCUCCUGGAAUGCACCCCUUUCUUUCCUGCUGUUUCCAUGUGUGUAUGAAUAUGCAACUAUGACAGGAGAAAGCUAUUAAAUUAUGACUGUGCAGUCAAGCUACACAGCUACACACGUAUAUACACCCCACCGCACCCCAGGGGAGACUCCUUCGGUGGAGUGGCUGGACUAUUCUGCCUUUGCUGUGAGAAGAGAACUGCAGAUUUGAAGCCGUUGAGAGCUUCACCUCAAAACAGAGAGAGAAGAGGAGGAGUUCUCUGGUAACCAAGUGGUGAAGGAUUCAGCAUUGUCACUACUGUGGCUCAGGUUUGAUCUCUGGCUUGGGAACUUCCCCAUGCCACAGGUGCAGCCAAAAAAAAAAAAAAAUUAAUUAAAAAGAAAGAGGAGGUGUUCCCGUUGUGGCUCAGUGGUUAACAAAUCUGACUAGCAUCCAUGAGGAUGCAGGUUCGAUCCCUGGCCUCACUCAGUGGGUUAAGGACCCAGUGUUGCUGUGAGCUGUAGGUCACAGACGUGGCUCAGAUCCUUCGUUGCUGUGGCUGUGGUGUAGGCCAGCAGCUGCGGCUCCAAUUCAACCCCUAGCCUGGGGACUUCCGUAUGCUGUGGGUGUGGCUAUAAAAAAAUGACCAAAAAAAAAAAAAGUAUUGUGAAAUAUCCAAAACCUUAAGUUCUGGGUUUAAUUAACCCUUAAAUAUUAAAGUAUUCUCUAUCUUAUGGAACAGUGUUAUUCAGGAAAGUGUAUUGUGUCUUAUGAUUAUGAGUGUCUGAUUACUCACAACUCAUUUAUAUUUUAAUUUCAUAUGUUGUCAUUGAAAGUAACAAUUUUAUUUCAUCAUAAACAUUUAAAAUUAAGGCACUGCUAAGUAAUUCUGGCUUUCUCCUGGCCCUUUCCCCUUUCUCUUGUUCCAAAAGAGUAAAGUUAAAUGAAUUGGGGGAAGAGUGGGGUUAUAAAACCCUUGACAAAAUCUGUUUUCUAAAGCAAAGCCAUUCCAUUAAGGAGACCUAAAUUUAGGUUGUCAAAGCCCCAAAGACUCUGAAAAGCAAGUUGUUAAAACUUAUAAUGAGUUUCAGUGUUGCUGCAUUUGGAAAUGUCUCAGCAGUAGCCCUUGUACUAGAUUGCUCUAGAAGAGGGAGGGGGUGGUAAGGGACUCUUGUCUUUGAGGCUAUCAUUUCAGAUGUUAGAAUUUCAUAUUUUUGACCUUCACAAAUUCUUAAAUUGUAAAUUCCUAGAAGCUAUAAUUUGUGUUAAAAAAAAAAAUGUGGACAAAUCCCCUAAUGACAGAUCAGAGAUGAUUGAUUUAAAAUAUUUAAUUCAGCUUAGAGGAACCAAAGAUGAAACAUCCUCUCCCUCCCUCUCCCUCCACCCUGGUUUUUUCCUAACAAUAUCCCUGAGUUAGAGAAAAUGCAAAUGAAGCUUUUGAGAUUCAACUUAAAGUGAAAACAUUUUGCAGCUGUCAUGGCUAAUGUGACGAUAAAUAUAAGCACCAGUAGCUCUCUUAAUAUGUUUCUUGAGUAAGAAUCUUGGAGGUUAAAAAAAAUAUAUUGUCUCAGGAGCCCCUGCUGAUGAGCUAAAUCUUAAGAUGUAUAGCAUUUCCUGUGCCUGGAACUGACUCCCUGGUUCAGUGGUGAUCACCAGUAUACUACUUGAAGUUAGUGCAGAGACUCAGUUGCUGGGUCAACAGAAGCAUCCUCGUAGGUUUUUGUGCAGAUAGUUUCAGUUCUGCUGGCCAGUCUAAGGAAGGGGCACUUGGAAUGGGAUUUGUUCAAUAUACUUUACUUUCAUUUUUACUAAAGCUUUGAUUUAGUCUUUUCUCGAGUACCUGCUAUGUUUCAAGGAUGAGGCAUACCAAAAGGAGUAAGACAGGGUCCCUGUCCCAUCCACCUUGGCUCCAUGACAAAACAGUAGAUCAUUACAAUAUAUUGAAAGUGAGGGUAUGUCCAGAAUGCUAUAGAAGGUCAGAGUAGAGCAUCUAAAACUAACCUGAAAGGACUAUAUAAAUCUCUGUUUAUACAAACAUGAUAUUUGUGCCUUGAUAAUUGAAUUCAACCAUGGUACCUAUAAGAAGUUAAUGAAUUCUAGCAAACAUUAUUUUUAACAUUUGCCAAAAAAAAAAAAA
rnacentral:lncRNA from 1 species